rnacentral:rRNA from 1 species
AUUGAACGCUGGCGGCAGGCUUAACACAUGCAAGUCGAACGAGUGGCGGACGGGUGAGUAAUGCUUGGGAAUCUAGCUUAUGGAGGGGGCUAAUUACGGGAAACGGUAGCUAUUACCGCGUACCAAAGGUGGGGCCCAAGUGGGAUUGGGUAGUUGGUGAGGUAAAGGCUCACCAAGCCGACGAUCUCUAGCUGGUCUGAGAGGAUGACCAGCCACACUGGGACUGAGACACGGCCCAGACUCCUACGGGAGGCAGCAGUGGGGAAUAUUGCGCAAUGGGGGCAACCUGACGCAGCCAUGCCGCGUGAAUGAAGAAGGCCUUCGGGUUGUAAAGUUCUUUCGGUAGCGAGGCGUUAACUACAGAAGAAGCACCGGCUAACUCCGUGCCAGCAGCCGCGGUAAUUC